rnacentral:rRNA from 1 species
GUGGGGAAUAUUGGACAAUGGGCGCAAGCCUGAUCCAGCCAUGCCGCGUGAGUGAUGAAGGCCCUAGGGUUGUAAAGCUCUUUCACCGAUGAAGAUAAUGACGGUAGUCGGAGAAGAAGCCCCGGCUAACUUCGUGCCAGCAGCCGCGGUAAUACGAAGGGGGCUAGCGUUGUUCGGAAUUACUGGGCGUAAAGCGCACGUAGGCGGAUAUUUAAGUCAGGGGUGAAAUCCCAGAGCUCAACUCUGGAACUGCCUUUGAUACUGGGUAUCUCGAGUAUGGAAGAGGUGAGUGGAAUUCCGAGUGUAGAGGUGAAAUUCGUAGAUAUUCGGAGGAACACCAGUGGCGAAGGCGGCUCACUGGUCCAUUACUGACGCUGAGGUGCGAAAGCGUGGGGAGCAAACAGGAUUAGAUACCCUAGUAGUCC